AUGAAAGGCAUCCAUCUGGUCCUGCUGGCCGUGCUGCUGUGCUCCCAGCAAGCCCUGAGCCUGCGGUGCUACAGCUGCGCUGAUGUUGAGAACAUCAACAAGUGCCAGCUUAUCUUUUCAUGUGCCCCGACACCAAGUGUCUGCUACAAGGGCAGCAUGACAUUCACCACGGCCACUGGGGAGACAGGCACAAUACACGCUAAGGGUUGUGCCCCUUCCUGCCAGGAAGCUUCCCAGGCGAUGCAGCAGAUUUCGAAUCUAUCCAACCCAGCGUUCAACCUAGAAGUGCGGGAUGUGGCCUGCUGUGAAAAGGACCUCUGUAACGGGGUGGCCCAGGUGGCGCGCAGCCUCUGGGCCCUGGCUGGGGGGCUCCUGCUCAGCCUGGGGCCUGCCCUCCUCUGGGCCCGGCUGUGAGGACCCCUGGGACUCAGACACCAAGUUGAGGGGGGAGCAUCCUUACUGAUCGUACUUCCAUGUGGCAUUCACAGCAGCUCCCACCUCAAGCUCGCUCUCUCAUGCACAUGCACACACAUGUACACACACGCACAAGCAGUCACUCACAUGCACAUACACUCAUACGCAUGCGCUCACACGCAUCCACACACACGCUCAGACCCAUGAGUUCUCGCAAGCGUAGGCUAUGCUUGGACUCCUCCUCCUGCUAUAGCUGGGACCCAGAGGCCCAGGGAAGGACGCGGGCAGCCUCCACCCUCUGCUGACCCUCGGCCACUCCUGCCCACCCAUCUGGCCAGCCCCAGCCCCAAGCCCACCGCCCUGCUAUGCCAACAGGCCUGUCACACUUUGCGAACACCAUCAAUCAACCACAGACUCAAGAUGCAGAGACUGCCGAGCCCCGGCUGGACAGGGGCUGCUAGGACAGCGGAGCCCACAGCCCCUCCAGCGGGUCCUCUGCAGAGCGCCCA
rnacentral:lncRNA from 1 species